CUAUUAAUACCCCCAAAAACACCGACUGAUAAGCAACAAACCAUUUUUCCUCCCAAGUACGGGCGACAGAAAAGGACACCUACAUGAGCCAUAAAAAAGUACCGCAAGGGAACGCUGAAAAAGAAAUGAAACAAACCAGUAAAGUUUAAAAAAGCAGAGACUUAUACUCGUACCUUUUGCAUCAUGACUUAGCUAGCAAAAAUCAAGCAAAAGGCACUUUAGUUUGACUUCCCGAAACUAAGUGAGCUACUCCAAGACAGCCUAAAAGCAGGGCUAACCCGUCUCUGUGGCAAAAGAGUGGGGUGAUCUUAGAGUAGAGGCGACAAACCUAUCGAACUUAGUAAUAGCUGGUUGCCUAAGAAAUGAAUAAGAGUUCAGCUUUUUGAUUUUUCUUCUCAAAUUUAUUUCACUUAUAACUGACCCAGAAAACACCAAAAAAGUUAAUUAAAGGGGGUACAGCUCCUUUAAAACAAGACACGACUUCAUCAGCCGGGUAAGGAUCAUAAUUAUUAAGGCAAAAAUGUUUUAGUGGGCCUGAAAGCAGCCACCUACAAGAAAGCGUUAAAGCUCAUUCAUACUUUCGCCAUCAAUUUAGAUAACAAAUCCCAACCCGCUAAUUUUAUUAGGCCGCCCCAUGUAUACAUGGGGGCGAUUCUGCUAAUAUGAGUAAUAAGAAAAAUCCAGUUUUUCUCCUUGCACACGUGUAAAUCGAAACGGACCCCCCACCGAAUUUUAAUCGGCCCCAAAAGAGGGUAAUGAGCCACUAACUUUAGUAACAAGAAAAAUACCCAAAGAUUAACCGUUAGCCCCACACUGGUGUGCUUACAAGGAAAGACUAAAAGAAAAAGAAGGAACUCGGCAAAUACAAGCCUCGCCUGUUUACCAAAAACACCGCCUCUUGUACACAAAAAUAAGAGGUCA
rnacentral:rRNA from 1 species